AACGAACGCUGGCGGCAGGCCUAACACAUGCAAGUCGAGCGGACCCUUCGGGGUUAGCGGCGGACGGGUGAGUAACGCGUGGGAAUAUGCCCUUCUCUACGGAAUAGUCCUGGGAAACUGGGGGUAAUACCGUAUACGCCCUUUGGGGGAAAGAUUUAUCGGGGAAGGAUUAGCCCGCGUUGGAUUAGGUAGUUGGUGGGGUAAUGGCCUACCAAGCCGACGAUCCAUAGCUGGUUUGAGAGGAUGAUCAGCCACACUGGGACUGAGACACGGCCCAGACUCCGACGGGAGGCAGCAGUGGGGAAUCUUAGACAAUGGAGGCAACCCUGAUCUAGCCAUGCCGCGUGAGUGAUGAAGGCCUUAGGGUUGUAAAGCUCUUUCAGCUGGGAAGAUAAUGACGGUACCAGCAGAAGAAGCCCCGGCUAACUCCGUG
rnacentral:rRNA from 1 species